AUGGCUGUCGUCAGCUCGUGUUGUGAAAUGUUGGGUUAAGUCCCGCAACGAGCGCAACCCUUAUCCUUUGUUGCCAGCGGUCCGGCCGGGAACUCAAAGGAGACUGCCAGUGAUAAACUGGAGGAAGGUGGGGAUGACGUCAAGUCAUCAUGGCCCUUACGACCAGGGCUACACACGUGCUACAAUGGCGCAUACAAAGAGAAGCGACCUCGCGAGAGCAAGCGGACCUCAUAAAGUGCGUCGUAGUCCGGAUUGGAGUCUGCAACUCGACUCCAUGAAGUCGGAAUCGCUAGUAAUCGUGGAUCAGAAUGCCACGGUGAAUACGUUCCCGGGCCUUGUACACACCGCCCGUCACACCAUGGGAGUGGGUUGCAAAAGAAGUAGGUAGCUUAACCUUCGGGAGGGCGCUUACCACUUUGUGAUUCAUGACUGGGGUGAAGUCGUAACAGGGUAACCGUAGGGGAACCUGCGGCUGGAUCACCUC
rnacentral:rRNA from 1 species